CGACGGGUAGCCGGCCUGAGAGGGUGACCGGCCACACUGGGACUGAGACACGGCCCAGACUCCUACGGGAGGCAGCAGUGGGGAAUAUUGCACAAUGGGCGGAAGCCUGAUGCAGCGACGCCGCGUGAGGGAUGACGGCCUUCGGGUUGUAAACCUCUUUCAGCAGGGAAGAAGCCACAAGUGACGGUACCUGCAGAAGAAGCGCCGGCUAACUACGUGCCAGCAGCCGCGGUAAUACGUAGGGSGCAAGCGUUGUCCGGAAUUAUUGGGCGUAAAGAGCUCGUAGGCGGUUUGUCGCGUCUGCUGKGAAAGCCCGGGGCUCAACCCCGGGUCUGCAGUGGGUACGGGCAGACUAGAGUGCAGUAGGGGAGACUGGAAUUCCUGGUGUAGCGGUGAAAUGCGCARAUAUCAGGAGGAACACCGAUGGCGAAGGCAGGUCUCUGGGCUGUUACUGACGCUGAGGAGCGAAAGCAUGGGGAGCGAACAGGAUUAGAUACCCUGGUAGUCCAUGCCGUAAACGUUGGGCACUAGGUGUGGGGGACAUUCCACGUUCUCCGCGCCGUAGCUAACGCAUUAAGUGCCCCGCCUGGGGAGUACGG
rnacentral:rRNA from 1 species